rnacentral:rRNA from 1 species
UACGUAGGUGGCGAGCGUUAUCCGGAAUUAUUGGCCCGUAAAGAGCGCGCAGGUGGUUGAUUAAGUCUGAUGUGAAAGCCCACGGCUUAACCGUGGAGGGUCAUUGGAAACUGGUCGACUUGAGUGCAGAAGAGGGAAGUGGAAUUCCAUGUGUAGCGGUGAAAUGCGUAGAGAUAUGGAGGAACACCAGUGGCGAAGGCGAUUCUCUGGACUGUAACUGACGCUGAGGCUCGAAAGCGUGGGGAGCAAACAGGAUUAGA